rnacentral:rRNA from 1 species
UACGAAGGGGGCUAGCGUUGUUCGGAAUUACUGGGCGUAAAGCGCUCGUAGGCUGACUAUUAAGUCAGGGGUGAAAUCCCGAGGCUCAACCUCGGAACUGCCUUUGAUACUGAUGGUCUAGGGUCCGGAAGAGGUGAGUGGAAUUCCCAGUGUAGAGGUGAAAUUCGUAGAUAUUGGGAAGAACACCGGUGGCGAAGGCGGCUCACAGGUUCGGUACUGACGCUGAGGAGCGAAAGCGUGGGGAGCAAACAGG